rnacentral:lncRNA from 1 species
AGUGAUGCAGUCACUGCAAUCAAUGGGUCCGGAUUCUCUCCUUCACCCAUUGUCUCAUUCUCCAAAUCCUAACCGGUUAGAUCAAUCUUGCGGUUAAAAUUUAUUUUGACAAUAAAAGCUAGAAAACAAUUCUUUGCCUUUUGACUAAAUCCUAAAUUUGAACCAGUGAAAUAGAUAUCCUCUUCCUGCGAACGAUUCACACAACACCACCAACUUGGGCGGCGCAAGCAGCGGCACAGCGGUGGGGCGAAGCAGCGGCGCUGUGGUCGGAGAUGACGCAGCGGCGCCUAUGGUUGGAGACGACUAGCGGCGAGAGACGACGGGUGAAUGAUAAAAACAUGAAAUUUCUUUCCUUCCUUAUUCUAGAUUUGUUUGUUUCUACCUUUCUCUAUUGAUUUUGUUUCUUUUGUAUUUAUUGACAGGAAGAAAGUGAAAUUAUUGAAGCACAAUGGAGAAAAUUGAUUUUAUUUUUUUCUCCUUUUUGUUUUGAAUUUGUUGACAAAUAAGAAGGAAGAUAGUGAAGAUAUUGAUUUUGUUUCUUUCGUAUUAUACUGAUAAAAUUGCAGAAUGUGCUUAACAAUGAAUAUGCAUGACUCAAUUUCUUGCCUUUGGAUGCACUACUUUGUGGUUUUGGAUGAAGCUUGAAAUUGUUUUCAACUGGUGUAUUGAUGUAGUGUUUUGUUGCUUUGGAAGAGAUAUAGAUUAAUGAUAAGUGGUGAAGUUAGGAACAUUGUACAGUUAUCAUAUUAUAAAAGGGGCCAAUGGUUGUAAAAGGAGCUUGGUUUGGUUUAUUGCUACUCUAUUGUAAAAAUUUCAUAUUGAAUAAAUGAGGUUGUUUUGUUCUCAAAUUACUUUGUCUCUAAAGCGAUGUCUCAGCUUUAGGAUUCUUC